AAAGAGUCAUCACUGACGUCUCCUCUGCAGUAUUUAACAAUGAAGAGACUGAUCCUGAAACAAUAAAACCUCUCAGAACCACUCUCCCUCUCAGUCUAAGCAAUGGAGAGUGUUGUCUUGUAUCCAUCACCAGGGAUGGGUCACCUCAUCUCAAUGGUGGAGCUUGGAAAGCUUAUACUGAAACACCAUCCUUCAUUCUCCAUCACCAUAUUCAUUGUCACUCCACCUUACAACACUGGCUCUACUGCUCCUUAUCUCGCCCGCGUCUCCUCCACCAUUCCUUCCAUCACUUUCCACCACCUCCCCACCAUUUCUCUCCCUCUCGAUUCUUUCUCCUCUCCCAACCAUGAAACCCUUGCUUUCGAGCUCCUCCGCCUCAACAACCCUAACAUCCACCAGGCCCUUGUGUCCAUCUCCAACAAUUCCUCCGUCCGUGCCCUUAUCGUUGAUUGCUUCUGUACAGCGGCGCUUUCUGUGGCUGCUCAACUCAACAUUCCAUUCUACUAUUUCUUCACUUCUGGCGCCUGCUGCCUCGCUUCCUUCCUUUACCUCCCUUUCAUUCACCAGCAGACUACCAAAAGCUUUAAAGACCUCAACACCCAUCUCCAUAUUCCGGGUUUACCGCCGGUACCGGCCUCUGACAUGGCGAAGCCGAUACUUGACAGGGAGGAUAAGGCUUAUGAGUUAUUCGUAAACAUGUCCAUACACUUGCCAAGAUCAGCUGGAAUCAUUGUGAACACCUUUGAAGCGCUGGAACCAAGAGCUGUCAAAACGAUUUUGGAUGGGCUCUGCGUCCUUGACGGUCCAACCUCACCAAUAUUCUGCAUAGGACCAUUAAUUGCAGCUGAUGAUCGAUCCGGUGGUGGUGGUGGUGGAGGGGGAGGUAGCGGCAUUCCUGAGUGUUUGACAUGGCUCGAAUCUCAACCAAAACGCAGCGUUUUGUUUUUGUGUUUUGGGAGCUUGGGUUUGUUCUCAGAAGAACAGUUGAAGGAGAUAGCGGUUGGGUUAGAGAGGAGUGGGCAGAGGUUCUUGUGGGUAGUGCGGAGCCCACCCUCCAAGGACCCGAGCAGGCGUUUUUUAGCACCACCGGAACCGGAUUUGAAUUCCCUUCUCCCAGAUGGGUUUUUGGAUCGAACCAAGGAGAGGGGCCUAAUGGUGAAGUCGUGGGCUCCUCAGGUGGCCGUCUUGAAUCACGCCUCUGUUGGAGGGUUUGUGACUCACUGUGGGUGGAACUCAGUGCUUGAAGCAGUGUGUGCAGGCGUGCCAAUGGUGGCAUGGCCACUAUAUGCCGAGCAAAGGUUUAACAGGGUGGUGCUGGUGGAGGAAAUGAAGCUAGCCUUUCCAAUGGAAGAGUCGGAAGAAGGGUUUGUUACUGCAACUGAGGUUGAGAAGCGAGUUAGAGAGUUGAUGGAGUCGGAGGAAGGAAACACCCUUCGUCUCCGGAUCAUGGCCAUGAAAGAAGCUGCUGAGACUGCAAUGAGCGACGGUGGAUCAUCCCGCACCGCAUUAACAAAACUGGUCAAGUCAUGGAGGCCAGGAUGAGAGAAAGAGAAGGCUGUUCGUCUUAGCUUUCAAUUUCUUCCAAAUCCCGAUUAUUCGGUACCACUUCAACCUAGCAAUUGUUUCAUUAGCAAAAUUUUGCAUUUCUUUUAGCAGUUCAAUUUUAUUGUGUUCUUGGGUAUUAAGUUUGUUAACCUAAUAGAAAAUAAAUAAAUAAAAAAAGACAAAUGAUUAAUAUCCCAUGAAGUGCACCAACAUUAAUAAUCUAAUAAUCAAAAUGAAUGAAAGGAAUUAUAGUGGUGAAGUUCUAAUAAAAAAACUCUUUCAAUUGAGGCUGCAUUUUAUAAAAAUAAAAAAUAAAACUUUAAACAUAAAAGGAUUAUAUAUAAUAGGGUAAAUUCAUCAAUUAUCACAUAAAAAAAUUAAAAAAAAAAAAUUGAAAAAGUGCUACCCCUUCCACCUUUACAAAUUGACCGGACAACUCAAUUCAUAUAAGCUUAUGGGGAACUCAACCCUUGCGAGCUGGUCGAACAACUUGAUCCUUGCGAGCUAUCCGAGCAGCUUGAUCCUUGGCAUUUGAACAAAAUACGAUAAUAUUGAUUCAAACUUCAUAAUCUAACAAGGUUUAAUUCCUUUCUUAACUAUUUCAUUUUUAUCACAAAUUUGGAUGAAUUUAAUUAUUCAAUACAAACACCUUUGGACCAUUUCUUGCAGUUUUCAAUGAUAAUCCAUAAAAACUUAGAUAUCAUGCUUGUAAAGUCAUGAACACGGAAGCAAAAAUAUCAUCUAUUAUUAGCAGAUAAAGUCCUAGGAGGGCCACACAUUCUUGAAAUCCAUACGUUUUUCCAAUGGAUACACCCUUCAGUGUACAGAUUUUUUUUUUGCAUGCGUGAAUAAAUGACAAUCCCGUUGUCACUUUGUUUUGAUCUAACAAUUUCAAAAUAUAUAUAUGUUCCUUUCUUUUACAUGUCAUUUUCCUUCUACCUUCUAAAAGUUGUCUUCUAGAGUCUCACUUAAAGUUGUUUUGGACUCUAUCGUGUGAUUGUUACAGCCAAUAUCUAGACAUUGAACAUCUUGUGAUUGAUUCUUCUCAAGUAUUCAUAUAAUAAAUACAAUUAGAAAUAUUAAUUCCCCCCUUUUCCAAUGUUGGGAUGGUACUCAUCUUUCACACCAUUAUUAGAACUGUCCCACCUUGAAGGUUUAUUAAAAAUAAAGCUUCCUAUUUGUGAUUAUCUUUAUUGAAAAUAUUAGAGUGACACCCCUAACCCAAGUAAUUAAGGCUAAGGGGACAAUGGUCAUUUCAUAGAUGGGCCCAAAGGUCUAACAUGUGAAUAAUGUCAGAAAUGUGAUAUAGUCAUUCAUUAAUGUUGGCCGGUUGCUUGUAACAUAUCAAAAUAGUAAUCAAAGAUUAUUAAAUCAACUUUGAAAAUGAAACAAAGUCCCACAUGCACGAGUAUUUAAAACAUUUUUCAAUUAGAUUUAAUUGAAAUAAAGUAAACUAACUAGCUAGUGGUAAAUAAUGGAGCAAAUUUUUUUUUUUGGUUUUUGCCUAUGAUGAGACGAGUUUGGAAGAAGUAUAAGUAGGUUAAGGAUGUGUUUGAGAUUUUUUUGAAACUUAAGACGGGUUGGACUAUUGCUUUGUCCCUCGCCACCAUAUCCCGAUUAUAUAUAGUUAUAAAAAUAAUUUAAUUUAAUUUAUUUUUUCAUUUUCCCCUUUUGUAACACAUAAAAUUUGCCAUAUUUUUUUGUUAAAAUUAAAAAAAAAAUUAUUUAUAAUUUUUUUUUAUAUAAUUAAAGUUUUUCAAAAAAUUAAAUUUUAAAAAUAAUAUAUAUAUAUAUAUAUAUAUAUAUAUGUGGUUUGAAAUUUCAUUGACUAUUUCCCUUAUUCCGAAUAAGAAAAAAGUGACUAAAAUUAAUAAAUGAAAAUAAUAUAAAAGAUAUUUAAUGAAAUUUCAAAUUUAUAAGAAUUACAUAUAUUUAAUCAAAAUUUCAAAGGAGAUGAAUAAAAUUAACUCAAUUAGAAAUCAAUUACUUAUAUCUAUUUACUUUAUUAUCUAAUUCAUUAAUCACCACUUAUGAAUAUAAUCAUCACUUAUAAUUACCAAAAUAUUAUGGUACUUAACUUCAUACCAAGGCCCAACAAAGUAAGGGGAACAUAAGUACCUAUAAUCCCUUAUGAAUUUCUAAUAGUAUAUAUUCUAGAGGUCCAAAAUUCCAACCAAAUUUAAUAGCAUUCAAUUUCCAUCUUAGAUUUUGGCAAGGCUUACAUCAAGAUUAAAACCAACAUCCAAUAUUUUUGAAUCAUGCAUUUUUUUAAAAAGAUUUAAGGCGUAUUUUUUAUCAUAAUUUUAGAAAGUAUUUCUAACAUUUUUAAUACUUAAAAAAUAAAAUUUUAUUUUCUAAAAUCACUAUCAAAUACACUUUUAAUUUAUGUUAUCACACAUAUCUCGGGUUAGGAUAGUAAUAAGCCCUGAUUUCAAAUUACCUCUUCGAGGGGCAUGGUUAUUUUUCAUUUUUCCAACUUUACCAUAUGACCAUACUAGUGUUUGAACCUCCUCUUCCACCAAAAAUUUAUUAGGGUAGUUGCCUUGUUCCUAUCGCUGCUUUAUAUUUUCGUCCUUUUAUGAUAGGUUUAACCUCCUCAAAAGUUUGUUCAAUCAUUUUCACAUGCUUCAAGCUAUCAAGCACUUGCGUUUUGUAUGGCAGCAGAAACAUGUUCACGUUUUGCAGGCAAAGUUCUUAAAACUUGCUUAUCAACAGUUUCUCUUCUUGAAUUGUGUGUCCACAACUUCAUAUUAACAAAAUCUCCAUAAAUUUUGAAGUUCUAUUGAAAUUAUUUUAUCACUUCUCAUGGGAUUCUUAAUUUUUAUAAUACUUGCUAUGCAACUUUAGCUUUCUAAUCCCCAAAAAAUUCUAGGAAGACUAACUUAAUUUGCUUAGCCUGUUGAAUAUAUAUACAAGUAUAAAGAGACAUAACAAGAGCAACUUUGCUUAUGCUUUGUUAAACAUAUAAUAAGCGUAAUAAAGAGAGACAAGAUUUUCUUGAGCAAGAAUCACAAGGCUUGCAAUGAAGAAGUCCAUCUUUUGACACUUGGUUUUCACAAGAUACCAAUGGGCCUUUGGUGUACACUUAAGGUGUCUCUCAACGACUCACGAUUACUUACUACUUACAGUUGGCCUAUAAUAAAUAUAUUUUCGAAAAGAGUAGAUAUAGAUUUAAUGAACAUUAGAUGAUAUUAAAAACUUGUGGAAUAAUAUUUCCAUGUGAUUAUCAAGUGUUAGGUACAUGAUAAAUAAGUUUUAAGAAGCCUGUUUUGGCAUUAAUCUUAUUAAUUUAAGAACUUAUUUGACAGUAAUUUUAAAAAAUAUUUUUUAACAUUUUUAACAAUUAAAUUUUUUUAAUAAUUCAAGUAUUAGAAAUGCUAAAAAUUAUUUUCUAAAUUUACUAUCAAAUGUGCUCUACAUUUGUUAUUAUGAUUAAGUACUAGUGGUUGUAAGUACAUAGUUAACUAUCCAUAUGUUAGUCCGAUCUACACUAAUUAAAGAGAAUCUAUAUGUUUUUUGAUUUGAAAGUUUAAAAUAAAAUAGAAAAUAAGAAUAAUUUAAUUAAAUUUUUAUUCACUUUCAAGAAAAAAAAAUAGUAUUUAUAUAUGUGAUUAAAAGGUAAUACUCUAAUAUUACUUUUGACUUAAAAAUGUAUUAAAUAAAAAAUAUUUUUAAUCGAAUGAUAUGAAUCGAGAUAUAGAAAAAUGAGUUCUCAUUCUACUUAUAUUUCUAAAUAAGACCAUGAAAACAUAUUUUUUCUAUCUUAAAUAGAAAAUAAGCGAAUUAUAAUUUUAAUAAACCAAUCUUUCUUUUAGGGUUCUAGGAUAUUUUGACGUAUGAUUAGGGAGAUAUUUUGUGUUUAAAUUAGGGGAGUUUAAACCAUGUUUUUAAAGUAAGGUUUUACUUUAAAAACAAAACAAAAAUCCCCCCCAAAAAAAAAUCAUGUUUGUCCAUCAAACAUUAUAUAUGAUUUUUAAUUUUUCUUUAAAAAACAUCUUUUAAAUUAUAAAUACUAUUAAAAAGACUCUAAAUUACGUGAGAUAUAGGCCAUUUGAAAGCGACAAGAAAAAAAAAACAAAAAACAAAAAACAAAAACCAAAUAAUAAUAAUGUUUGUCCAUAAAACAUUAUAUACGAUUUUUCGCCUUUUUAAGAAUAUUCUCUACAUUUUAUCAAAUGUUUAUUUAAUUUUUUUUAUAAAAAAUAUCUUUUAAAGUAGAUUUUCUUUUUUUUUUUAAAAAAAAAAAAACUAUUAAAAAGACUUUAAGUUGCAUCAGACGUUUAAAAUGAAGUUAGGUUGUUUGAAAGAGAAAAAUAAAACAAAAAAUCAAAAAGCAAAAGACAAAAAAUAAUAAUAAUAAUAAUGUUUGCCCAUAAAACAUUAUCUAUGAUUUUUCGAUUUUUUAAGAAUGUUCUUUACAUUUUAUCAAAUGUCUAAUUUUUAUUUUUUUAAAUUAGAAAUACUUUUAAAAAAAACACAGUUAAAAAUCUUCUAAAUUGUGUUAGACAUUUGAAACAAAGGCAGACAGUUUGAAAAAGACAAAGAAACAAAACAAAAACCGUGUUUGUGCAUAAAACAUUAUAUAUAAUUUUUCAAUUUUUUUAGAAUGUUCUCUACAUUUUAUCAAAUGUUUUUUUUUAAACAUCUUUUAAAUUAGAAAUACUUUAAAAAAAAAAAUACUAUUAAGAAGACUUUAAGUUGCUUUAGAAAUUUAAAAUGAAGAUAGGUUGUUUGAAAGAGAGAAAAAAAACAAAACAAAACAAAAAGCAAUAAUAAUAAUAAUAAUAAUAAUAAUAAUAAUGUUUGCCCAUAAAACAAUAUAUAUGAUUUUUCAAAUUUUUAAGAAUGUUUUCUACAUUUCGUCAAAUGUCUAAUUUUUUUUUUAUAAAAAAAACGUAUUUUAAAUUACAAAUACUUUAAAAAAAAUACUAUUAAAAAGAGUUUAAAUUGUGUUAGACAUUUGGAACAAAGGCACACCGGUUGAAAGAGACAACAAAACAAAACAUAAGACUAUGUUUGGUUCCCGGAAAGUACAAAGGAAAGAAAAAAAAUGCUAAGGAAAAUGAUUUUCUCAUGUUUGGUUGUCCUAUGAAAAAUAUCAAAGAAAAUCAAAUAUAAUUAAAACUAAUUAAAAACUUAUAUAUUUUUAAAUUAUUUAAUCUUUAUAUUGAUGAGUUAAAAUAAAUAAAAUGAGUUUGAAGUAACAAAAAAAAUAAUUUAUCAACUUUUAAUAUAUUUUUUUUAUUUUUCUUCACUUUUUCUUUCCUUCUACUUUUCCUUUGUAUUUUCUUUCCCUCGUAUUUUCCCUCAAAUUUUCCGGGAACCAAACAUAGCCUAAAGAAAACAAAAAUGAUGUUUGUCCAUAAAACAUUAUAUAUGAUUUUAAAAUCUUUUAAAAAUGUUCUCAACGUUUUAUCAAAUGUGUAUUUUCUUUUUUAAAAAACAUCUUUUAAAUUAGAAAUGCAUUUAAAAAAAAAAACUAUUAAAAAGACUUUAAGUUGCAUUGUACAUUUGAAAUGAAGGUAGGUUGUUUGAAAGAGAAAAAAACCAAGAAAGAAAAAAAAACCAAAAGAAAAAACAAAAAGCAAAAAAUAAAAAAAAAUAAAAUGUGUUUGUACAUAAAACAUUAUAUAUUAUUUUUCAAUUUUUAAGAAUGUUUUCUACAUUUGAUAAAAUGUCAACUUUUUUUUAAAUAUGUUUUAAAUUAUAAAUACUUUUAAAAAAAAUUAUUAAAAAGGCCCUAAGAAUGUGUUUAAAUAAUGUUUUUUGUGAAGUGUUUUUAAUAAAAAUAUAUUUUUUCAAGAACCAUUAUAAAUGGUUUUCCAACUUGUAAAAAGUGUUUUCUAAAUAUUUCAACUAAAACAUUUUUUUAAAACAUAGAAAAACGACCUCUCAAAAUUCCUUCGUAAUUAUUGGAAGAAGCCUAUAGGAUCCGAAAUUGUCCAUGUCGUCCUCCAUUUUGCUUGGGUUGCACAUGGUUUGCUCUGCAUCUUUUCUUAUGCAUUCCAAGCAUCCAUCGAUUGACCAUUAGAUGGGAAAUAAUUGAAGUCUAAAACUACCCGUCUUCCUUUUCCACCAUCCUCUCUCAAACCUGUCCUACCAUUCUCUUUCACAGUGGUGCUAACAGUUGAAAUCUCAACCUUAAAUCAUUAUAUAUUUUUUGAUGAUUGACUUCUCCCCCUUGUCCUUUUGCUUUCUGCACUAUUUAACAAUGAAGAGACUGAUCCUUAAACAGUUAAACCUCUCUCCCUCUCAGUCUAAGCAAUGGAGAGUGUUGUCUUGUAUCCAUCACCAGGGAUGGGUCACCUCAUCUCAAUGGUGGAGCUUGGAAAGCUUAUACUGAAACACCAUCCUUCAUUCUCCAUCACCAUAUUCAUUGUCACUCCACCUUACAACACUGGCUCUACUGCUCCUUAUCUCGCCCGCGUCUCCUCCACCAUUCCUUCCUUCACUUUCCACCACCUCCCCACCAUUUCUCUCCCUCUCGAUUCUUUUUCCUCUCCCAACCAUGAAACCCUUGCUUUCGAGCUCCUCCGCCUCAACAACCCUAACGUCCACCAGGCCCUUGUGUCCAUCUCCAACAAUUCCUCCGUCCGUGCCCUAAUCGUUGAUUCCUUCUGUACAACCGCGCUUUCUGUGGCUGCUCAACUCAACAUUCCAUGCUACUAUUUCUUCACUUCUGGCGCCUGCUGCCUCGCUUCCUACCUUUACCUCCCUUUCAUUCACCAGCAGACUACCAAAAGCUUUAAAGACCUCAACACCCAUCUGCAUAUUCCGGGUUUACCGCCGGUACCGGCCUCUGACAUGGCGAAACCGAUACUUGACAGAGAGGAUAAGGCUUAUGAGUUCUUCCUAAACAUGUUCAUACACUUGCCAAGAUCAGCUGGAAUCAUUGUGAACACCUUUGAAGCUCUGGAACCAAGAGCUGUCAAAACGAUUUUGGAUGGGCUCUGCGUCCUUGACGGUCCAACCUCACCAAUAUUCUGCAUAGGACCAUUAAUUGCAACUGAUGAUCGAUCCGGUGGCGGUGGAGGGGGAGGUGGCGGCAUUCCCGAGUGUUUGACAUGGCUCGAAUCUCAACCAAAACGCAGCGUUUUGUUUUUGUGUUUUGGGAGCUUGGGUUUGUUCUCAGAAGAACAGUUGAAGGAGAUAGCGGUUGGGUUAGAGAGGAGUGGGCAGAGGUUCUUGUGGGUAGUGCGGAGCCCACCCUCCAAGGACCCGAGCAGGCGUUUUUUAGCACCACCGGACCCAGAUUUGAAUUCCCUUCUCCCAGAUGGGUUUUUGGAUCGAACCAAGGAGAGGGGCCUAGUGGUGAAGUCGUGGGCGCCUCAGGUGGCCGUCUUGAAUCACGCCUCUGUUGGAGGGUUUGUGACUCACUGCGGGUGGAACUCAGUGCUUGAAGCUGUGUGCGCCGGCGUGCCAAUGGUGGCGUGGCCACUAUAUGCCGAGCAAAGGUUUAACAGGGUGGUGAUGGUGGAGGAACUGAAGCUAGCCUUGCCAAUGGAAGAGUCGGAAGAAGGUUUUAUUACUGCAACUGAGGUUGAGAAGCGAGGUAGAGAGUUGAUGGAGUCGGAGGAAGGGAACACCCUUCGUCUCCGGAUCAUGGCCAUGAAAAAAGCUGCUGAGACUGCAAUGAGCGACGGUGGAUCAUCCCGCAACGCAUUAACAAAACUGGUCGAGUCAUGGAGGCUAGGAUAGAGAGAGAAGGGUGCUCGUCUUAGCUUUCAAUUUUUUCCAAAUCUCGAUUAUUCCGUGCCACUUCAACCGUAUAUUAUCCUAAUCACACGCUACGGGGGAGAAAAUAAAGAAAGAGACAACAUUUUCAGCGUAGUUUGACAAUCAAAGAACUUGCAUUAACACUCCAUAAUCUACUUAUCAAAAUAAAUGAAAAGAGUUACGAUGGUGAAACUCUUGAAAAAAGACCUCUCAUUUACAUCACACUUUCCAAAAAAUAAAACCCUAAAUAUAAAAAGGUUAAAUAUAUAAUAUGAACAAACUUAUCAAUUAUCAUAUAAAAAAAUAAAAAUAAAAUAGUAAGACUACUCCUUUUAACCCUCGUAAGUUGAUCGGGCAGCUCGAUCCCCACGAGCUCAAUGGGGAAUUCUAUUCCCGUGAACAAAUUGGACAACUCAACCUCCGAUAUUCCAAGUAAAGUGCAAUAAUAUUGAUUUAAGCUUCACAAUCUAACAACAUAUAAUUCUUUUAUUAAUUAUCUCAUUUUUGUUACAAGUUUAUAUGAAUUUAAUUAUUCAAUACAAACACCUUAGGACCAUUUCUUGCGGUUGUCAAUGAUAAUCCAUAGAAAACUUAGAUAUCAUCCUCAUAAAAUCAUGGACAAAGAAGCAAAAAUAUCAUCUGUUAUUAGCAGAUAAAAGUCCAAGGAGAGCUACACAUGCUUGUAGUCUAUACGUUUUUCCAAUGGAUACACCCUUCAGUGUACACAUUUUUUUCUUGCGUGAAUAAAUGACAAUCCAGUCAUCACUUUCUUUUGAUCUAACAAUUCCAAAAUAUACAUAUAUGUUUCUAUCUUUUACAUGUCAUUUUCCUUUUACAUUCUAAAAGUUGUCCUCUAGAUUCUCGCUUGAAGUUGUUUUGGACUCUAUUGUAUGACUGUUACAGCCAAUAUCUAGAUAUUGGAUCUCUUGUGAUUCUUCUCUACUGUUCAUAUAAUUAAUACAAUUAGAAAUAUUAAUUCCCCCCUUUUCUAAUGUUGGGAUGGUAUUCAUUUUUCACACCAGUAUUAGAAUUGUCCCACCUUCAACAUUUGUUAAACAAAAAGGCUUCCUAUUUGUAUUAUCUUUAUUAAAAAAUGCUAGUGCAUGUAGCACUAACCCAAAUAAAGCUAAGGGGAUAAUGGUCAUUUCAUGGGUGGACCCAAAGAUCUAAGAUGUGAAUAAGUCUUUUAAAACUUGACAUAGUUAUUCAUGCAGGGCGGUUGCUCAUAACAUAUCAAAAUAGUAAGCAAAGAUUAUUAAAUCAACUUUCAAAAUGAAACAAGUCCCCAUGCAUGAGUAUUUAAAACAUUUUAUGAUUAGAUUUAAUUAAAAUAAGAUAAACUAACUAGUGGUAAAUAAUGAGGCGAAUUUUUCGAAUUUUUCCUAAUAUUCGCCUCUAAUUAGACGAGUUUAGAAGAAGCAUAAGUGGGUUAGGGGUGAGUUUGAUUUUUUUAAAAAAAAAAAAACUCAGAGGGUUGAACUAUUACUUUCUCCCUCCCCACCAUAUCCAAAUUACAUAUAUAGUUAUUAAAAUAAUUAAAUUAUUUUUUUCAUUUCCCUUUUUUUUAACACAUAAAAUUUACAAAUAAUUUUUUAUUAAAAUUAUAAAAAUUGUUUUUUAUUUAAUUUUUAAUAUAAUCAAAGUUUUUCAAAAAAUUGAAAUUUAAAGAUAAAAAAUAAUUAAAAAAAAUAAGGGAUAGGAAAUUUAUAUAUAUAUAUAAUAGAGAGGAGAAUAUCUUUUGUAUUUCGAAUAAGAAGAGAAUAACUAAAAAUAACAAAUAAAAAGAAUAUCAGAGAUAUUUAAUGAAAUUUCAAAUUGAUGAGAAUUAUAUGUAUUUAAUCAAAAUCUUAAGAGAGAUGAAUGAAAUUAACUGAAUUAGAAAUUAAUCAAUUACUUAUAUCUACUUUGCUAUCUAAUUCAUUAAUCAUCACUUACAAUUACCAAAAUACUAUGGUCCUUAAAUGCAGAAACUUCAGACCCAGGCCCAACAAGAUAAGGGGAGCAUCAGUACUUAUAAUCCCUUAAGAAUUUCUAAUCAUAUAUAUUCUAGAGAUCCAAAAUUUCAACCAAAUUUGAUAGCACCCGAUAUCCGUGUUAGAUUUUGACGAGCCUUUUGUCAAGAUUAAAACCAACGACCAAUAAUUUUGAAUCAUUAUUUCAUUUUUAUUGAUAUUAAUCAAUAAAAUUAAAGUGAACUUGUUAUCAAUAAGUUUAGUUUAGUUAUAUUGAUUGAUGUCGAUGAAUUAUUUUUAACUGAAUAAAAAAAGUCAAUUGUUUUGGUUUUGUCUAUUUAGUCAAAAAACAAAUACCACCUUAGAGUGUGUUUUUUAUAAUAAUUUUAAAAAAAAUUUUUAAUUUUUUCAAUACUUGAAAAUUUUUAUUUUUCAAAUAUUAGAAAAAAAAAAUACUUUGUAUCAUUAAUUUAUAUUAUUGGUAGGCUAAAAUAGGCUCAGUUUUCAAAUUACCUCUUCCAGGGCCAUGGUUAUUUUUCAUUUUUCCACCUUUACCGUAUGACCAUACUAGUGUUUGAAUUUUGAACCUCCACUUCAACCUAAAAUUUAUUAGGGUAGUUGCCUUGUUCUUUAUAUUUUCGUCCUUCUUUUAUGAUAGGUUUGACAGCCUCAAAAGCUUGUUCAAUCACUUUUCACAUGCUUCAAGCUAUUAACUAUUUACAUUUUGUAUGGCAGAAGAAACAUGUUCUUGUUUUUGCAGGCAAAGUCCUUAAAACUUGCUUAUCAACACCUUCUCUUCUUGAAUUGUGUGUCCACAACUCAUAUUAACAAAAUCUCCACAAAUUUUGAAGUUCUAUUGAAAUUAUUUUAUCACUUCUCUUGGGAUUCUUAAUUUUUAUAAUACUUCUUAUGCAACUUUAGCUUUCUAAUCCCCAAAAACUUCUAGGAAGAAUAACUUAAUUUGCUUAAGAGUUGUUUGGUUAAAUUUAAUGCUUAUUUGUUAAUGAUUUAAGUUAAAUUAUACUUAAAUUAUUGAUUAAAAACUUAUUGUUUAAUUAAUAUUAUUUGAUAAAAUUAAUUUAAAAUUAAUUUUAAAUUAUCAAAUUGACAUAUUUAUCAUCAUAAAUUAUAAUUAAGGUAAAGGAAGUCGAGUAACAAUAGAAGUUGUAAAGUAACAAAAGAGAUCGUUGAGGUAAUUAGAGUAAAUUAAAAUAAAAAUAAAUAAAAUAAAGAUAUGAAUUUAAAAAUAAGUUAAUUGUUUUUACUUAUUAUUUAAAGUUAUUUUUCACUUUAAAUCAUACUAUUAAAUUAUUUUACCAAAUAUACUUAAUUUACUUAAUAACUUAAAUUAAAUUAUUAUGUCACUUUAAGUUAUUAAAUUGGUUCACCAAACACCCCUAACCUUUCUUGAAUAUGUAUAGAAGUAUAAAGAGAUCUAACAAAAGUAACUUUGCUUAUUUUAUACUUUGUUAAACAUAUAAUAAGUUAAAUAAAGAGAGACAAGUUUUUCUUUAACAAGAAUCACUAAGUUUACAAUGAAAGAAGUCUAUCUUUUUGACACUUGGUUUUCACAAGAUACCAAUGGACCUUUGGUGUACACUUAAUGUUUCCAUGUGAUUUAAUGCACAUUAAAUGCUAUUAAAAACUUGUUGAAUAAUAUUUCCAUGUGAUUAUCAAGUGGUUGGUACAUGAUAGAUAAAUUUCAAGAAGUCUGUUUAGGCACUAAUCUUGUCAAUCUAAAUUUGCUAUUGCACUACAAGGAAAAUGUCAAAAGAUGACGCUUUUUAAGUGUCAAGAUAGAUAUAAGAUGACGCUUUUUAAAAGCGUCAUAUAUUAGACUGUCAUCUUUUUAAAUCACAUACGUUGACACUUUUAGAAGCGUCAUUUUCUUUGCACGUCAACCAUGACGCUCAUAGUAAGUGUCAUUAUUUGAAACAUUGACGCUUUAUAAGUGUCAUCAUAUGUUAAUAAUUUCAUUCAUGUCAAUAUUGACACUCAAUGAAGCGUCAUUGUAUAGGUAGAAGCAACAUUGACACUCAAUAUAAGUGUCAUCUUAUAACUUUUUAUUUGUAGGAGCAACUUUGACACUUAAUAAAGUGUCAUUGUAUAAGUAGAAGCAACAUUGACACUCAAUAUAAGUGUCAUCUUAUAGCUUUUUUUAUUUGUAGGAGCAACAUUGACACUCAUAAUAAGUGUCAUCGUAUAGCAUUUUAUACCUUGACACUAAAAAAAAAUGCCAUGUUUUUUUAACAUUAACCUUGACGCUUUUGAGAAGUGUCAUCUUCUGUUAUUCAAGUAAAGCAUGACGCUUUAAAAAAGCGUCAUCUUAUCUCAUAUAAAAUUUUAAUAGCCCAGAAAUUAAAAUGUCCUAAUUAUGCCCUGUUUUAUAAUUUUCUAUCAACAAUUAAAUUAAUAAUGAAAACUUAAUUUAAGAAUCUCCAUUGACAAAAAGUAUCAAAUAUGGUCUCCCUUUUUCACUAUUACAAUUUAUCCAUAAACAUCAUAUAUAAUCAACAACUAAAACCAACAAUUUUACAACUUCUUCUUCUCAACUUUAAAUUGUUCAUAACCUUCACUACAUCUAGUUUUACAUCAUUUUUCUUCCAAGUGCAAAAGGAUGGUUGUAACUCACUUUCUAGAUGCUCAAUCUGCAAAAUAAUUGAGAGGGUUACAUAUUUAUUAGUAUUAACAAAUAGUUAAGAAGCAACUUUGUAAAUGAAAUGUGUAUAUGCCAAUUUUUAAAUUUCCAAAAUAUCUUUCUUCCAUUGCAAUAAAUUUCAAAAUAUCAAAAGAACUCAACAAACUCCAAUAAUUUUAUUACACCAAAUUUCUAAAUAUUUUAGAACUCUUAUUCUAUUUUUUUUUUUUAAAAACAAAAAAAAAAAGUUUUUAUCUCAUUGACUAUUUUGGUAUGAUUUUUAUCUUAUUUAUGAAACUUCAACCAUUAACAUCUUCUCAUUCUUCUUAUAGGUUGUACAAGACAUUAGAUGUUUUGCAUGAGAAGGAACUAAGGAAUGAAAAAAAAAACAAAAAAAACUAGAAGUCCAAAAAAUUAUAAAAUUUUAAAUUAACAUAUUUAUGUAAAAUUAUAAAAUUGUGUUAAAAUAUCUAUGUUCUUCUUAUUGUAUUAGUAUAUCAACAUUUAAUAAUAUGAGGAUAUCUAUUAUCUAAAUAUGGAACUUGCAUGAAAUGAUCUCUAAACAUGGAAUUGAUUCAUAAAACUUACAAUAACCACAACAUGUUACCUCAAAAUUCUUUUGAUGAUAUAUUUUGAAUUGUUUGUAGGUGUCCUUCAUCAAGAGCAGUAGUGACGUUGUUAAUAGAAUGACCUAUGCCUUUUUGUACAACCUGAAGAAUAUAUAAUAAACAAUUUAACAACCAAUUAGUAAGAGGUGCUAUUUCCUUCCAUAGGCUUAUUUGUAAGAAGUCUUAAACUAACUUCCUAUUUUUGUAUGUAAAAGAAAAUGGAAGUACAAGAUAUUAUAGACUUUAAGCCCAUUAGUAUAGUAGGAGACCUUUAUAAAUUUAGAUUAAAGAAGUUUAUAAAGCUAGUAAUCUUAAAGACCAAAAAUGCUUUUGUAGAGAAUAGACAAAUUCCUAAUUCAUGCACAUGUAAUGAAACUAAAGGCUCUACGAAAAUGAGCUUGGACAUGCAGAAAUUUUUGUAGCUAUGCUAUUGUAGGAUUUCUCCAAAUCUAACUGAUAAUAAUUUGUAGAGGAAAUAUACAAAAGUUGUUACACCUACCAUGUCUACUUGGCUUCACCUCUCAAUAUGCCAACUAUACAUCAAUCAUAAUAGAGCAACCCCCAAAAUGAUCCAUAUUGAAAACACUGCCAACUAGGAGUACAAAGAUAUACAUUAACAAAUUAUCAUUGUGAAUAAAUCCAUUAUAAAAUUAACAUUAACAAAAUAUUGACUACAUCUUUAAAAGAAUAUGAAGUUGUAUUAGACUAUAAGUUAUAAGAGGUACUUUCAAACAUGAGUAAUGAUUAACUGAGUCACUAACAUAACCCAAUCUGAUCGAACUUCAUUAAUUUCCAUUUCACUAUAUGAUUUCUUCCCACAAAACUGAAUUGGAGUGACAUAUACAAUUCACUAAGUUCAAUUGACCAAAAAAAAAAAAAAUGCUAUAGUAAAAUGACCAACCAUAUGAAUUGAAUUGAGUGCAAACCUUUGAUGUUAGUUGGUUUGGAUUAGCAAUGAUUUCCUUCAUAUAUCUCAUCACGUAAUACCCACAUUCCACACUACCUGGUUGUCUUGGGCACUAUGGGAAAAGUAUCAACAAUUGCAAUAAACACUAGAAUGAUGUUCUUACUUCUUUAGCAUCUUAUUGAUGAUCAUAUUAAUAACCAUCCAUUUUCUAAUUUUUUCAUAAAUUAAGUGGUGAAGCAAUAUAUUUUAAUCUAAACAAAUAAGUACUUACAACCACUUUCACCCAAGUUGGCUCCCUCUUUGAUGUUUUCUGUUUUUCCGGUGGGUUGAUUCUCAUUACCCUACAAAAAGAAUUAAAAAGAUGUUAUUUAAACACUAUCAAUUGUAUUAAAAUAGGAGAAAAUAUAUACUUACAUGUUAACUAUGUCCUUAAGAUCAUCACAUGGUUGACAUGCCAUUGGAUCAAGGUAAUAUGCAAUCAUUUUCUUCAUCUCCAAUGCCACUAACACCCAAUGAAAACUAAAGAAAAGAAAUGAAAAUUGUAAUAUAGUAUCCACAAAUUCAAACAUCACAAACUAACUUACAAACACCAUAUUGAUAUUUAGGAUAAAAGGUUACUCUAGGUUGUAUGGAAUAAGCAUAUAUUCAGCAUGCUUUGUAUUCUUUAGUCGAUCUGCAAUAACCCUUGACCUGUUUUCCUUGCUUCCCUCUCCUAUUCCAGCUUUUGAGACCAAUGCUGGAUUGACAAAAACAUAUCGUUCGGCCUGCUUUGCAUCAAUCAACUUUCUAUGCAAAUGCCUGAUUAUAACCCAUAUGACAAGUUAUCAACAAUCAUUAUAGGUCAUUAGAAAAUAACCUUCUAUCUCAUAAUCUUGUAAAAAGUCAUUCAAAAAUUAUAAAAUCCCUUACCAGAUGUAGUAUAAAAUACAAUUGGAUGACACUUCUUUUGAUGAUAUUAUCAUUUCCAUAUCUUCUUUCAUCAUGAAGGUCUUGAAACUCUCACCAAAAACAUCCUCUGGGAAGUUUAUAGGGUAUGCUCUUGAUGUACUCAGCAUGAGGCCAACCAAUGUCUCAAAAUUUUUCAUAUCUUGUGGUUUUUCACCCUUGGAUUUGACUUCAACUUCAUUUACUUUUUGUUUCUUUGCUUUCUUAGAUGCCUGUACAAUUAAGAACCAUGGUACAAAUCAAAUUAACUAGUUAUAUAUAUAUAUAUAUAUAUAUAUAUAUAUAUAUAAAGUCACUAUAAAGUUUGGUAAUUAAAUUUACUUACUAAGAUGGGAGUACGGAUGAUGACCAAAUCAGUUGGCCACAAAACUUGGUAACCAAUUGCAGCCCCAACAGUAGUAGUUUGUCCAGGAAUAGGAAUGGGAAGGGGUGCACUUGAAUCAUAAGGAGCAUCAACAACUACUAAAUAGUUGGGACCACAUUCAAGUAUAAUUGUUCCACCUGCCACUAUAUUUUCCUUGGUGCCUAUGGCCAGCUCACAUUUUCUAACCUACAAAACUCAAUUCACAAUAAUCACUUCAAUAUUAGUGGGUUUAUACAAAACUAACAUAAAUGCAUUAUCAUCAUCAAUCACCUUAUAGCUCCUAUUACAAUGAUAAAUGCAAUUUCAUUUACAUUCAAUUGCAACAAACUUGCAUGAUAACAUUUCAGUCCAUUGCAUAUAACUCAACCCAUAAUUUAGACAUAUCCUAUUAUAUGUUGCCACAUCAAAGAAGACCAUAUAUGUUGCCACCAACAUUUGAAGUUAAUUCAAACAACAAAAUUAAAUUAAAUUAUUUCUCGUAUUAGAGGAAACUUUGUCAUCAAAUUAGCUUAAUUGAAUAAAUACCUUCUUCUGUGGUUCUAUUGCUUCUGGUGGGGUCACAUCUUCAACUUUACAGAUUGGCUUAUCCACUGCUUCUGGUAGGAGAAGUUGUUUUUGCUUCAUGUUUGAACUGCUAACAUCAGAUUGGGGAGUAACAACUCCUACUUGAGUCAGUUUUGCUAGCACUUCUGCCUGAAAUAUUCUUUGUUCUUCUUUAGAUGCUGCUAUGAAAUCCCUGACAGCACGAUCUGCAGCACUAUUGAAAUAUUGGCGAGGUGUGUAGUGCUUCCCUUUGGCCCUAACUCGACCACUAUACUCAGGAGUACCCAAUGCUUCCACAAGUAUAUCAUUACUUCCACUAACACUUCUACCAUUCUCUUGAGACUCUUUCAAUAGCUUGUCCUUAAAAAAUAUUAAUUAUAAAGUUAAAUUGCAAAUUUGUUAUUGUAAAUAACUUAUUAUAAAUAUAUGUAAUUAAAAUUGAAAAAUAUUCACUUACUAUUUUCUCAAUUACUGGUAUGGCCACUUCAUCAAAGGUGCCGUCCUUUUUUUCCCUUGCUUUCUUCCACAAUAUGCUUCGAUCAAUAGUUUUAAUUGAUCCACUUGCAACCAUCUUUCAAAAUAGGACAAUGUAUAAUAUAAUUAUCAUAUAACCCUAUUAUGUAUUAUGCAUAAAAUAAAUAAAAAACAAUUAAUAGGCUUACACUUACCAUCUCUUCCUUAAGACCGGCAUAUCCUUUCCUACUUAGAUGGUGAUUAUAAAUGUUUCUCUUUCUUCUUUCUUUUUGAAUUUCUCGAUAUUCCUAUAAAUUAAAAUUUUAUAAUUAAUGAAUGUGAAUAAGAGGUAUGUAAAGAGUCUUAAUUAUACCUUAAAGUUGUCAGACAAUCUAUCUUUGAAAAAUAUUGUCCAUCUUCAUCCUCAAUAAAAGUAUAUUGAAUUGGUGGUCUUUUGAGGAGCUCCGGUUGGUCUUCAAAAGGAAGAAUGUACUUCACUGUUAGCAAGUUCUUAAAGGACCGAAAGUAUUUUCCCAUUGUUAACAUACAAUUCCUCCUGCUUUUAUGAUUUAAUGAAAAAACAGUCUGCACAUUAAUACCAAACUUUAGUAAUUUCAAGAGGUUAAGAAUGAUAGACAUUUUGCAUCAAAGUGAUUUAAAUAAGAAAUGGUUACCUCAAUGCUGUCCCAUAACUUAUCCUUCAACUGUUUAGGUACAACAUGCCAAGUUUUAUAUCUUAUUGGCACCAUAGUGCGUGCUAACACGCCUAAGUAGCUUGUUAGAUGAACUGCUGAUUCUCCUAUGAAAAUGCCAUCAAGAUUGUACUUAACCGACAACUUAACCCCCUUGCUUCUGUUUUUUAUAAUCAUAUGCUUCCGUGUCAUCCCUCUGUACUUCCUUUUCAUGGGUUUUUCUCCUUCCUUUGUCUCCAUUCUUGUAACAAAAAAAAUAAAAAAUGAUAAAGAUUAGUUAAAAUUAUAUUGCAUAUAACCUAGUCAAAGAAUAAUUGUAAAACAUAACUUUUCAAAGAAACAAAUCCAUAAUCAUUGUACAAUGAAAUGCAAUAGAUCAUGAAUUCAAUAGAUCUUUUUAGAAUUGUUCAUCAUAUAACAAGGAUAACACUUCAUUUAAACUUUUUUUUGUCCCGCUUUGUUUAACAUUUCAUUUAUUUUAAGCAACCCAAGGGCCUUUGUAUAAGAAAGCUUAAUUUGCAGUAGGAAUUUCCUAUAAGAAUCAACAUGGAAGGAGCACGUGGUUUCAACAAGUUCAUCAAGUCCAUAAGAACUUAUGAAUGCUUUUGGACUAUCGGUUUGUGUUACAUUAAGUUUGGAAAACACAACAUGCAUAUUGAUAAUAAAAAAUUUCAUAAUUUUUUUACUCACAAACAUAACUAAUUUAGUAUCUUCCAUGCACAAUUUAGGGAAAAGGUUUUAGUAAAUAUGUUAUUGGGAGAUGUUAAAGAAUGAUCAAUAUUUUGUGCAAAAAAAUAAAGAAAGGAUAAAAAUUACCUAUUUUGUGGCUGUUGCAACCCAUUCCAUGGCCUUUAUUCAUACAUUAGCAUUAAAAUAUAGCUACAUAGAGGAUUUGUUCUCAAUCCAAAUCCCCUCACAAUCGCCUCGCAUACAUGUUGCAUCUGAGUCAUCCAUUACAUCAAACGCUUCAAUUUGUGGCAAUGCCCCUAUAAAGGGAUGGUGUUCAAUCGAAUUGUCAACAAAGUCUUCACCUCCUUCCAUAUCCAAGAAAUCUUUUUGAGGAGUUGACAAAACAACCGACCAUCUUGGAUCAAGUUGGUCUUGCACAUAAAAUACUUGCUUAGCUUGGGAUGCCAAAAUGAAAGGAUCUGAUUUAUGAGCAAUUUUGCUAAAGUCAACUAAUGUAAAGCCAAGAUCAUCAACUUUUAUGCCAUUUUUAUUAUCAACCCAAUCACACUUGAAAACCGGUAUCCUAAACAUGGUAUAAUCAAGGUCCCAGAUCUCGGUAAUAAUGCCAUAGAAACAAAGCUCACCAAACACUGGAUUUUGAUCCUUUGCACUUGCGAUUUGCAUUGUUGAAGCUACAAUACUAACUCCACUAUUUUGGGUAGUUCGUAAGUCAUCUCGUUCCUUGGUAUGGUAUCGACACCCAUUAAUGACAUAUCCAUGAUAUUUAGAGACAUAAUGGCUAGGACCAUGAGCUAUCCACUUAAGGGUUUCAGAUAUAGGUUCAUUAUUACCAAUUGCAGCUUCAAUCUGUAAUUAUAAAUAAUAGUUAUUAUGUAUGUUAAACAUUAGUAAAAAGAAUACUUCACAUUAUAACACCAUUCCAAUACCUUUUUUCUCAACCAAUAAGUAAAAGUCUGCAGGUGUUCAUCCUGGAGCCACUUUUGUCUUUUUGAUUGACGAGGAUUUUUCAAUUUCAACCAUUCCAUGUGCUCUCUAUGUAAUUAUUUAUAAGAAAUUCAAAGUUAAUGUCUUAAAGUUAUUUUAAGUAUCAGACACAAAUAUUAAGUGUUAGUGGUUCUUACUCAAUAUAAGGUUGAACAAUAGUUGUAUUCUCUAAAACAUAAUGAUGUGCAUGUAACCACAAAUUGGAAUCAAUUGUCACAACUUGACCUCCAGGUAUUGGUGCCCAACUUUUUGGUCAAUGUUUGCACUAAUAGGAAUCCCAAUCGCAUCUACAUUUGAUAAAUACUCUGUACAAAAUUCAAUAGCUUCCUCUGCAAUAUAGCAUUCAGCGAUACAACCUUCGGGCCGAUUACGGUUUCGUACAUACCCUUUCAAAACUUUCAUGAAUCUUUCAAAUGGGUACAUCCACCUUAGGUAAACUGGUCCACAAAGUCUCACCUCCCUUACAAGAUGUACAGUAAGAUGAAACAUGAUAUCAAAGAAAGAAGGUGGAAAGUACUUCUCAAGCAAGCAUAAUGUCACCACCAAAUCAUUUUGUAACUUAUCCAGUGCAGACACAUCAACCACUUUGCUACACAGAGCAUUGAAAAAAAAACUCAAUCUGCAAAUAGCAUGUCUUACAUGCUUUGGCAAAAGGGAUCGUAAUGACAUUGGCAAUAACUGUUGCAUUAAUGUAUGAUAGUCAUGCGAUUUAAGACCAUAAAGCUUCAAGUCUUCCAUUGACACAAGGUUUCUCAUGUUAGAGCAAUAACCUUCAGGAACCUUUAAUUGUGAUAAAGUUUGGCAAAAAACCUUUUUCUCCACUUUAGAUAACGUAUAACAUGCAGGUGGGAGAUAAGUUCGAUUUGAUUCAAACCUUGGCCCCAAUUCACACCUUAAGCCCAUCUCUAGCAAGUCUAGGCGAGAAUUAAGUCCAUCUUUCGUCUUACCUGGAAUGUUGAGUAAGGUACCAAUGAUGCUUUCACAAACAUUCUUCUCUAUGUGCAUUACAUCCAAGCUAUGACGAACAUGUAGGUACUUCCAAUGCUCAAGAUCAAAGAAUAUGGACUUCUUUUUCCAACAAUUUGUAGUAUUGACAUUCAACUUGCCUCGGGAGUUUUUAUUUUUUCCCCAUGAAUUAGAAAUGACACCAAUUUUCCUUAGGAUUUCUUCUCCACUCAAUGGUUGCGGAGGUGAGCUAAACUCUUGUUUACCAUUAAAUGUCUUCUUUUGUUUCCUAAAAGGAUGGUUGCAAGGAAGAAAUCUUCUAUGACCUGUAUAUGAGUUCUUUUUCCCAUGCUUCAAUCUGUGAGAGAAUGUAUCUUCCCCACAUAUGGGACAUGCAAAAUAUCCUUUAACUACACAACCAGAUAAGUUUCCAUAUGCAGGAAAAUCAUUGAUUGUCCAUAGUAGAACAGCUCUUAAUGUAAAGACCUCUUGCUGAUGCACAUCAUAACAUUCAACCCCUACAUCCCACAACAUUUUUAAGUCAUCCAAUAAUGGUGCCAAAUAAAUAUCAAUGUCAUUUCCAGGUUGUCGUGGACCUGAUAUUAAUAAAGAUAGCAUCAUAAACUUCCUUUUCAUGCACAACCAAGGAGGAAGGUUGUAAAUAACCAUUAUAAUAGGCCAACAACUAUGUUUACUGCUCAUUGAACUAUGAGGAUUUAUACCAGCUGCUGAAAUGGCAAGUCUAAGAUUUCUAGGUUCUGAAGCAAAAUCAGGCCAUCUGUGAUCAACUAGCUUCCAUGAUGGGGAGUCAGAUGGAUGACGCAUUUUACCAUCAAAUUCUCUUUCUUGAGCAUGCCAUAUGAGGUCUUUUGCAAUUUUUGGGGACUGAAACAAUCUUCUAAAUCUUGGAAUAGGAGGAAAAUACCACAUUACUUUUGCAGGGACUCCCUUCCUCUUUUUAGUACCUGUUCCAUCUAACUUCCACCUUGAAGUUCCACAAGUAGGACAAGAAGUUGCAUCCUUCAACCCAUUUCUAUACAAUAUGCAAUCAUUGGGACAUGCAUGUAUUUUCUCAUAUUCCAUUCCCAAUGUAUUCAAUGUUUUUUUUGCUUCAUACAUAGACAGAGGCAACUCAUUGUUUAGAGGCAACAUAUCUCCAAGAAUACUUAAAAGCUCUGAAAAGCUUUUAUCAGACCAUCCAUAUCGUGCUUUCAGGUUGUAUAAUUUGACCAAUGCAGAUAACUUUGUAAAGUUUCUACAACCAGGAUAUAAAGGUUUUUUAGCAUCUUCAAGUAAUGUUUCAAACAAUUUUGGGUCAUUCUUACGAUCAUCAUAUGCAACUUGAACCAUUUCUAUUGUACUAUCCACAUCGUUAAAUUCAACUGUAUGAUGCCAUUCUACCCUACUAGUUGGUGGUCCACUUGGAGCAGCGUCUCCAUGCCAAUACCAUGUAUGGUAACUCUGAUCAAUUCCAUAGAAGAAUAAAUGUUCUCUAAUUUUUUGAGGAGUGUGGAAUAUCAUAUUACCACACUGAAGGCAUGGACAUUUCAUGGAGUUUUUAUAUGUGGAAUAUUGUAAUGCAAAUGCGAUAAAGCUUUCUACCCCAUCUGCAUAAUCCUUUGAUCUCCUAUCCUUUGACAUCCAAGAACGAUCCAUUUGAUGUACAAGAGAUAAACACAACUCCUAGAUACCACCAACAACUAAAGUUAUUAAUAAAAUCCUAUUAAUAGGCUUAAAAUAUAUAAUCUACCAAAUUAAAAUUUCCCACAUUGUCACUAAACUUAGACCAAUCCAAAAAAGGACAAUGUGCAAGUCAUCUAACAAUAAGCAAUAUGACAAGAAACAUAAUUAGUAUAUUAGGUUAUUCAAUAUUGGCAUAAAAAAUGGAUCUUAGUUCAUUCAUGAUGUUUGCUUUAUUCAUGAAUAGGAAUGAAAAGCAAGAUCUAACUUUUAGUCUUCUCUUAUAUUAUUGAAUACACCAAGUUUGAAAAUUUUAAAACACAUAACCACAUGAGACAAUGAUACCAUGAACUAAAACAAUUAACGAAUGGAACUAAGAUUCGAAUGAAUAGAAGCAAGUGAUUUAUACAUGAUUUAGGCAUUCUAACAUCUCUAACAUCCUUAAUUAGGUGGUGGUUCCUAUCCCAUAUAGGAAUACAUAAUCCCUAUGUGUCAAUUGGCAAUAUACUUAAAUUCAUUUUAAAGAAAUUUCGGCAGCAUUUCCCUAUAGUUCUCCAAGUACACAAAAUGGAUAAGGCACAAUAUGUGACCUUGUCCAAAUAUGCACCUAGAGAACAAGAAGAAAGACUACCAAAUUUUCUCAAAAUUGAAUUAAGAACAAGCAAUUAACUUCAUAGAUAUCAUGUUUUCCUAUACUGUCCAGCUGGACAAUUCAAACAUCAUUUGCAGAGAAAAGAUUUUAUCACAUGGAAGACAAAUUUAGUAAUUGUCAACUUGAAACUGGCUUAAAUAUACCCACAUUUCACAUUUUGACAACUUAUUGUCUUAGUAUGUAAUAAGAGAAACUUCUGUCUCACAAUGAUACUUGAAUGGGAAUUCUAAGGUUUCAUGCAUGCAUAGUUGAUUAAAACUAAAACAUAAAUACUUAUUAAAAUAUUACAUCUAGUUAUGUAUUAUAAAUUAUUCAUAUCAAUUGAAAUGGUGAGAAUAGGAAAAUAUUGUUUGUAAGCAUCACAUUUUAGACCUAAGUUCACAAACUUUGCUAAAUCCAUUAAAGACCCACUACAUAAAGUUCAUGUUAAAAUUGGUUCAUCUCCAACCCCCAAAAUGAUUUAUCAAAGUUACUCAUUUUUUAGAGUCUUGAUUAAUUAGAUAAUCAAUAUAGAUACAUAUAAUUUGUAUUAAUAUAAUAUCAUGAUAUUUUUUUCAUUUUGUUUUUAGGCUUAGACUUGGGUAGAUUUCCCAAGUAAGGCUAAAGUAGAGCUAAGCCGCACCUUGACAUGUGUUCUACUUAUGUUGGGGGUGACCAUUCUAGUUUAUGGUCAUAAGUGGGGUGUCAAAUCUCAAUUAGUUUAUUGAAUAGAUGAACCAAACAUGACGUUAUUAUUAAUUAGAUAACAUGUUGUGUAACCCAUUUAAAAAUGAAGUUGAAUAACAUCUUUUGUAACAUAAGCAAUGAAGCCUAUGUCAGAUUGUGAAGCUUAAAUUAGUAGUAAAUGUUGCACUUCGCUCGGGAUGUCGGGGGUCGAGCUGCCCGGUCAGCUCGCGGGGGUUGAAGGGGGCAGCGCCCCCUGAAGAAAUUUUUUUUAUUUAAUUUGAAAGCCGUAUGAUUCUGCUCAUAGGCAGUAGUUAUUGAGUUCCAUGGCACUACAUCCCUUAAUAAAAAUUGUUGAAAAACUUUCUAUGCAUUCCAAGAGCCCAUAUCUCGAAAUGACAUUUCAUCAAACAAGUUAUAGGCAGUACCUACAACUCCAUGGAAAGCAAGCUCAUUUCGGCAUGAACCAUUGUACACAAAUGGAACAACACCAGAACCAUUUCCAAAUCUUCCAGAGAACAUAAGAACCAGAGAACAAAAACAGAGGAGAGACACAACUGAGCCUAAAAACAGAGGUAUAGUAUCUUUUUAUCGAAAAUGCAAACCAAGAAAAUAAUUGAUAAUAAAAAAAAACCACAACAAAUUUACAAGCAUUCACACUCAAAUCCCAGAAAUCAAUAGUGAAGAAUGUGAAUCAAUGGGAAAACGAGAACAUAUGGGCUCGUACCAGACAACUCUCUCUUCUGGGUUUUUUCUUCUCCCUUCUUUUCUUUCCUCUGUUCCUCUGGUUCUUCGACCUUUCCUCCUUGCUUACCUCUUCAACCGAAGGCACCUGCCUUUGCUGCCUCUUGCCUCUCCCAACCUACGAAUCUAAAAAAACCCUAGCUUUCUCUCAUAUCUCCAUUCAUUUCCUUUCUCUCAAUCCAGCACCCAAAUAGUCAAAUCGGUGGAACAUCCAUGAAUGCUAUCUUCUUGAUUUGGAGUAAGAACUUCAUUUUCUCAAUCGAAAUUGGUUGGAGCUUGCUGGUUCAAUUAGAGACAGAUUUGGUAAUGAAACUUGAGUGUGGGCAUCGGGUAUGGAAAAACCUUUAUAUUACAUUUAUCUCUUUUUUUUUAAUUGAAAAAUGUGAGUAAUUAUAAAAUGAACAGAAAAUGACGCUUUUAAAAGCGCCAAGGUUGAGGUUCUCCUACAAUGGCACUUAAAAAAGCGUCAUUAUUUGAAAUGCAUUAUACAAUGACGCUUCUAAAAGCGCCAAGGUUGAGGUUCUCCUACAAUGACACUUAAAAAAGCGUCAUUAUUUGAAAUUCAUUGUACAAUGACACUUAAAAAAGCGUCAUUAUUUAAAAACGUCAUUAUUUCUCCCAUUAAAGCGCCAAGAUAAUGCAAGCGUCAUUAAUACCCAUUUUUGAGAAUAAAUAAUGGCACUUUAUAUAAGCGUCAAGAAAAAAAGCGUCAUAAAUUACAUUUUUUGUAGUAGUGUUGGCAUUAAGUACUAUUGGUUAUUGCAGGCUCAACUAUCCAAUUGCUAGGCCGAGCUACUUUAAUUAAGGAGAAUAUAUAUAUGUGUUUUUAUUUGAAAGUUUGAAAUAAAAUAGAAAAUAAGAAUAGUUGAAAAAAUAAUAAAAUUUAUGGACUUUCAAGUAGAAAAUAGUCCUUAUAUAUAUCAUUAAAAGGUUCAUAAUACUCAAAUAUUACUUUUGACUUAAAAAUGCAUCAAAUAACAAUUUUUUUUAAUUGCAUAGUGUGAAUCCAAAUAUGAAAAAAUGAGAUCUCAUUUUACAUAUAUUUUAAAAUAAGACUAUGAAAACAUAUUUUUCCUAUAUUAAACGGAGAAAACAUUUCAAAAGGGUGAAACAAUGUACUCUAUAAACAAAUGAUAAUUUCAAUCAGCCAAUUUUUCUUCUUGGGUUCUAGGAUCUUUAAACGUAUGAUUAGUGAGAUAUUUUGUGUUUAAAUUAACGGGGUUUAAACCAUGUUUUUAAAGUAUGGUUUUACAUGAUUGGUAUAAGAACACUUUAACAACCAAGGUUUUGUUCCAAUAUAGAAGUGUAUUUUUUUCUAUAUCCAUCAAAUAAACAUCACCAAUCAAAUGGUGCCACAUAUACAUUUUUAGGUUUCGUUGUUUAUACUCUCAUCUCAUUUGUUUGUAUUUAUCAUUAUACCUUAGUUUCAUUAAUUUGUACUAUUUUUUAACCGUCUAGAUCAUAUCAUAUAUAUUCAUGGGUUUGAAGUUUGUUUGGUAUAUACGCAUUACCAUGUUACUUUAGCAUUUUCCUAACAACCAUGACCCUAAGACAUGUCUAUGCAAUCUGCUUGUAAGCUUACCAUGCAUUCAUACCUCCAAAAGCCAGAAACCACAAUUUGGUAAAGCUCUAACUUUAUCACUCAACUAACAUAAGGGUAGGUUGAGAUCAUCAUGCAACGUUGGUUAUUAUAUUGAAUUCAAAUUGUCAAUUACAACAACCCAUGUGCAUUAUCUUUACUGUCUGGAAGCCAAGAAUAAUUUGUGGCAGUGUCUCUCGGGAGAACCAGAAGCAGUGUCUGAGCGGUUCGUUUCCAGCAACUGAAAGUCCUGAUUACCCGGGUCUAUCAGCCCUCCCACGGAAUUGUAACAUGUUGACUGGUAGAUAUCUCUAUCUCUCUUCAGAUUAAAAGCAUCAAUAUAUGGAUAUGCUCUUAGACAUACAGAGUUGACCCAGCAGGAGAAAGUAGCCACAGAGUAGCUAAACCCUAAGAAUUUUGAAUGAUGAAGAACACCAUUGUUCUGUAUCCUUCUUCAGGUUUAAGCCACCUUGUUCCCAUGGUAGAGAUUGGCCGACUCCUGCUCGCUAACUACCCUUCCUUUUCCAUCACCAUCCUCAUUGCCACCCUACCUUCUGACACCGCCUCCACUGCCACAUACAUCGCUUCCAUUGCUGCCACCACCCCUUCCAUUUCCUUCUACCACCUCCCCACUGUUUCUUUUUCCAACCCGUCCGGUUUUCCAGCUCUAUUCUUUGAAUUUAUAACCCUUAACAACAAUAAUCUCCGUCAAACCCUAGAAUCCAUGUCCCAGACCUCAAGUAUUAAAGCCUUCAUCAUCGACUUCUUCUGCAAUACCUCUUUCGAAAUUUCGGCAAAUCUUAACAUCCCAACAUACUAUUUGUGUACUUCAGGGGCAAAUGGGCUUGCGAUGUUCCUUUACCUCCCAACGAUUGAUAGACACAUUACAAAAAGCUUGAAAGAUGAUCUCAACAUGCAUAUCCAUGUCCCGGGAACACCAUCCAUUGCAGCUUCUGACAUGCCCUUGGCGUUGCUUGAUCGCAGGACUGAAGUCUAUCAAUACUUCAUUGACACCGGAAAUCAGAUGGCUAGAUCAUCUGGAAUCAUCAUAAACACUUUUGAAUCGCUUGAACCAAGAGCUAUUAAAGCGAUAUCAGAGUGCUUCUGCGUUCCAGAUGCACCGACUCCUCCAAUUUUCUGCAUCGGGCCAUUGGUCUUGAAUUCGAAUCGAGCUGGUGGUGGCGGUGAUGAACAUGACUGCUUGGGCUGGCUCAAUAUGCAGCCAAGUCGAAGCGUCGUGUUUCUGAGUUUUGGUAGCAUGGGGUUGUUCUCAUCGGAGCAGUUGAAGGAAAUCGCAACUGGGCUAGAAAGAAGUGGAGUGAGGUUCUUGUGGGUGGUGCGGAUGGAGAAGCUCAAUGGAGAAACACCUCAGCCAAGCUUGGAUUCAUGCUUGCCAGAAGGGUUCUUGGAGAGAACGAAAGAUAGAGGUUAUCUGGUGAAGUCUUGGGCACCACAGGUGGCGGUGCUGAGUCAUGACUCGGUUGGCGGGUUUGUGACUCAUUGCGGGUGGAAUUCGAUUCUGGAAUCUGUGUGUGCUGGAGUGCCUAUGGUGGCAUGGCCUCUGUAUGCAGAGCAAAAGAUGAACAGGGUGAUCUUGGUGGAGGAAUUCAAGGUCGCUUUGCCGGUGAACCAGUUGGAAAACGAUUUUGUGACUGCGACUGAGUUGGAGAACCGAGUGACCGAGUUGAUGAAUUCCGACAAAGGAAAAGCGUUGAGAGACCGAGUUAUAGCCAUGAGAGAUGGUGCCAAGGCGGCCAUGAGAGAGGACGGAUCAUCUCGGCUUGCACUAGCCAAGUUGGUUGAGUUAAUUACACGAGCUCCACCGACUUGAAAAACUUUAACUCAGUUGUAAUUAAAUUUGUUAAUUACAAUUAUAUUUAAAACAAAUUACAACUUUACCAAAUUAUAUUUAAAUCUACUUUGGUUUGUGGGCCUGGCUGGCCUUAGUCGCUGAAAGCCUCCAGGAUGGACUGGGUCCAGCACUGCCUGCCUGACUGGUCUGGCCUGACCCAAGAAUAUGUUCGGCCCAUCCCACGAGCAGCCGCAAACACCUACCUAUUUGGGAAUAUUUUCCAAAAUGAUUUUUGAAAAAUAAUUUAUGAGAACAGUUGUUGAAAAUAUGUAUCAAUUAUUUUUAGGAAUAAAAUUUUAUUGAAAACACUCAAAUAUAAAAAACAGAUUUUUGACUUAUUUUUCAUAGAAGUAUUGAUUUGCUUCAAGAAUUGUUAGUUUUACAAGAGUAAUUAACUCAUUGCCAAGUUAUUUUUUGUGUUAAUCAUCACCUUUAAUCACCUAUUUAAAUCACUUGGGUUGUUUGGUAAUUUAAUAUAAUAUUUUUAGUGGUUUGAAAGGUAAAGAUGGCAACGGAUGCCAAUUUAAUAAUGCAAGAUAAUGGAAGAUUAGGAAAAUAGAAAACCUGAAAAAACAAACGUUUGUACCCAUUAGGGUAAGAGUAUCUAUUGACAAUAAUUUUAGAAAGUAUUUUUAGUUUUUUUUUAAUAUUUAAAAAUUUUUAUUUUUCAAUUAUAAAAAAUAUUAUAAAUAUUUUAUAAAAUCCUUAUCAAAUACACUCUAUGAUUACCACUUAAAGGGGAGCAUGCCCGGUGUGGCAUGCCCAUCACCAAUUUUCAAAGUCAAAGCUUAUUUGGGGGUUCAUUUCUAUUUUUCAAUGCAUUAUGCAUUGCAUCCCAUAGAAUGACCUUGUAAUUCUCUCCUAGUGAUUAAUCCCUUUGUUUUUACCAACCCAAAUUUUAUUUCUUUUCCCUUUCCUAUCUACAACCCGGUUCGUGAAAAAUUUGAGGAAAAAUAUAAAUAAAAGAAAAUACAAAGAAAAAGUAGAACGAAAGAAAAAAUGAAGAAAAAUAAAAAAUAGAUUAAAAAUCGAUAAAUUAUUUUUAUUUGUUACUUUAAACUUAUUUUACUUAUUUUAACUCAUCAAUAUAAAGAUUAAAUAAUUUAAAAUAUAUAAAUUUUUAAUUAAUUUUAAUUAUAUUUGAUAUUUUUUUAUAAGAAAACAAAAUAUGAGAAAAUAAUUUUUCUUUAUAUAUAUAUAUAUAUAUAUAUUUUUCUUAGUAUUUUUUGGUAACCAAACAUAUUAAAGUGAAUUCCUACUCUUCUUCCACAAUCAACUAACGGAAUCAAAUUAUGACUUGCAAGUAGCAACUCUUCACUUUGGGUGGACACUAUACAAUAUCCUAUUUCAAGCACAUUCUACAAAUUAAUAUAUGAUACAAAAACUUUUCAAAAUUCUCCAUAUUUUCAAUUGUUACUCCAGACCCAUUAUGAAAAACAGUCAAAAGUAACUUUUAAAAAAUUACUUGUUUUUAGAAUAAAUUCAUAAAAAAAAUAAAAAUAAAAAAUUUAUUUCUAUUUAAAAAUUUAUUUCUAAAUUAAACCAGUCUAGGCUUUAAGAAGUAAUUAAUGUAGCAUUGUUUCUACCCAGCUGCAGGAGAGUUGGAACCCCAAAGAGGUGACAAGCUAGCAACACACCAAAGGGCCAUUUUCUCAAAAGAGAGACAGCUCAUUUAUGCUAGUUUGGCCCAUUCCUACUCGACUUUUGGGGUUUUUUUUUAAUAACUUAUACGGCAAUUUUAAAAGUAAUUCUUUAAAAAUGGCAAUUAGAAAAAUAUUGAUAGAUAUACGACACUUUCGUAAAAUAAAAUAUGUUUUUUGAAGAGACAUCUUUCAUCAUUUUCAAAUAUCUAAUAUUCACUUAGAAAAAUUGAAUUUAAACUAAAAGUGUUUAUUUAAGAGACAUUUUUUAGAAUUCUAAAAAAUUGGAUUUAUACUAAAAGUAUAUUUUGAAAAGACACUUUCCACAAUUUUAUAAAAUUCAAUGUAUACUAAUUUUUUUGAAAAUGUGUCUCUUGAAUAAACAUAUUUCAUAAUUUCACAAAUUUUAAUUUAUACUACAAGUGUCUCUUGAAUUUGAUUUUAUAUUGAAAGAGACAUCUUCUACAAUUCAAAAAAAAAAAAAUGAAUUUAUAUUAAAGGUAUCUCUUUAAAAAAUAUUUUUUCAUAAUUCCACAAAUUCCAAUAUAUACUAAAGGUGUCUUAAAUUUUAAUUUUAUUUUUAAUUUUCACAUUCAACAAUUUUACAAAUUUUAAUUUUAUAUUAUAAGUGUUUCUUAGAUUUUAAUUUAUAUAAAAAGUAUCUUUUAAAGAAAUACCUUUAGUAUAUAUUAGAUUUUGUGGAAUUGUAGAAGGUGUUUUUUUAAGAGACACCUUUACUAUAAAUCAUUUUUUUUUUUUUUAAUUGUAGAAAGUAUUUACCUUCAAUAUAAAAUCAAAAUUAAGAGACAAUUGUAGUAUAAAUUAAAAUUUGUGAAAUUAUGAAAGGUGUAGAGACACCUUUGGUAUAUAUUGGAUUUUUUUUGAAUUGUGGAAAGUGUCCCUUCAAAAGACACCUUCUAUUAAAAUUAAAUUUAGGAGACACUUAUAGUAUAAAUUACAAUUUUUGAAAAUGUAGAAGAUUUCUCUUCAAGAGAUACCUUUUAUAUAAAAUUAAAUUUAGGAGACACUUGUAAUAUAAUUUAAAAUUGAUGAAAUUGUGAAAGGUAUAUCUUCAAAAAACACAUUUUAAGUAUAUAUUAGAUUUUGUGAAAUUAUAAAAAUUGUCUUUUCAAAAAGACAUCUUUUACUAUAAAUCAAAUAUUUUAGAAUUGUAAAAAGUGUUUCUUGAAAUACUUUUAGUUUAAAUUCAAUUCUUUUAAGUGUAUAUUGUAAAUUUAAAAAUUAUGAAAGAUAUCUUUUGAAGGGAUAUCUUUAAUAUAAAAUCAUAUUCAAGAGAUAUGAAAAUAGGUUGUAUGAAAAAAGUUAAAAUAUAAUUUUUUUUCCACCUCUCUCUUAUAUAUUCAAAAAGUUUUAUAUAUUCAAAAAGUGUCCGUAAAAUUGGAAUUAUUUUCCUAUUUACGGUAUUUUAUAAAAUAAUUUUUUAAAAGUCCGUACAUUUAUCAAAAACCCAACUUUUUGGGUAUGGCAUUGAAUAUGCCUUUCCUACAAAUAUUCUGUCUCAAACCUCUUAGCAGUGCCAAAGCUCUGUUACAUCAAACCCUAAUCUUUAACAUAAUUUUGUUUGUCAAAUUAUUGUCACUUUUUUGCCUGAUUUGAAUGGAGGGUAUACUUGUUCUCUCUGUGAAAGGGAAGUUGAUAUUUUGAGCGGCCAUGACUGAUUUUUCUUCCUUCCUUUGAUUUCUUCUUUACGUCCUUUUCAUUAUCUUCCGGAUGUGCGUAUAGAUGUUGAUAUGGCAUCCUUGAAAACAAACCAUCUCCACAAACUAUUCCCUUUCCACAACCAACCCCCUCUGCUCUCCGGCCCUCUCAGCAAUGGAGAGUGUAGUAGUAUUGUAUCCAUCGCCAGGGAUGGGUCACCUGGUCUCAAUGGUGGAGCUUGGAAAGCUUAUAUUGAAACACCAUCCUUCAUUCUCCAUCAUCAUCUUCAUCGUAACCCCACCUUACAACACUGGCUCUACCGCUCCUUACAUCGCCCGCGUCUCCUCUUCCACUCCUUCCAUCACCUUCCACCACCUCCCCACCAUCUCUCUCCCUCUCGAUUCUUUCUCCUCGCCCAACCAUGAAACCCUUACUUUCGAGCUCCUCCACCUCAACAACCAUAACGUCCACCAGGCCCUUGUGUCCAUCUCCAACAAUUCAACUGUCAGUGCCCUUAUCAUCGACUUCUUCUGCACUUCUGCUCUUUCCGUCGCUAAUGAACUCAGCAUCUCAUGCUAUUAUUUCUUCAC
rnacentral:lncRNA from 1 species